GCCAGGUGUGGUGGCGCAAGCCUGUAAUCCUAGCUGCUUGGGAGGCUGAGGCAGAAGGAUGGUGAGUUCAAAGCCAGCCUCUG
rnacentral:sRNA from 1 species